GAUGAAGAACGUAGUGAAAUGCGAUAAGUAAUGUGAAUUGCAGAAUUCAGUGAAUCAUCGAAUCUUUGAACGCAUCUUGCGCUCCUUGGUAUUCUGAGGAGCAUGCCUGUUUGAGUGUCAUUAAAUUCUCAACUACACUGACUUUGACUUGGUGUGGCUUGGAUUUGGGGGGAAAAUUGUUGUGGGCUUUUUGUAUAGUCUGCUCCCCUGAAAUUGAUUAGCGGUACCUUUGUGGAACUGUCUACAGGUGUGAUAAUUAUCUACAUCUUAGACAUCUGCUGGAAUGCUGCUUUCUAAACCUUACUUGUAUUGACAAUCUUGACCUCAAAUCAGGUAGGACUACCCGCUGAACUUAAGCAUAUCAAUAAGCGAGGA
rnacentral:misc_RNA from 1 species